CCUACGGGUGGCAGCAGUGGGGAAUAUUGCGCAAUGGGCGAAAGCCUGACGCAGCGACGCCGCGUGAGGGAUGAAGGUCUUCGGAUCGUAAAACUCUGUCAGCAGGGAAGAACGGUCACUGGGCUAAACAGCAGUGAAUAGACGGUACCGGCAAAGGAAGCACCGGCUAACUCCGUGCCAGCAGCCGCGGUAAUACGGAGGGUGCGAGCGUUAAUCGGAAUUACUGGGCGUAAAGCGCUCGUAGGCGGUAUGUCAAGUCAAGGGUGAAAUCCCCGCGCUCCACGUGGGAACUGCCUUUGAAACUGGCAACCUGGAGUGUGUUAGCGGCUAGUGGAAUUCCCGGUGUAGUCGU
rnacentral:rRNA from 1 species